UGGAAUGACAACCUCUGGGGACCAA
rnacentral:piRNA from 1 species